CGGCCGGCCGGUCUCGCCCGUGUGAAGCUCCUUCGACGAGUCGAGUUGUUUGGGAAUGCAGCUCCAAAUGGGUGGUAAAUUUCAUCUAAAGCUAAAAUACUGGUCGGAGACCGAUAGCGCACAAGUAGAGUGAUCGAAAGAUGAAAAGCACUUUGAAAAGAGAGUUAAACAGCAUGUGAAAUUGUUGAAAGGGAAGCGCUUGCGACCAGAGUCGGCCGUGGGGGUUCAGCGGGCAUUCGUUGCCCGUGCAAUCCCCCGCUGGCCGGGCCAGCGUCGGUUUCGACGGCCGGUCAAAGGCUCCCGGAAUGUGUCGCCUCUCGGGGCGUCUUAUAGCCGGGGGUGCAAUGCGGCCAGUCGGGACCGAGGAACGCGCUCCGGCACGGACGCUGGCUUAAUGGUCGUCAGCGACCCGUCUUGAAACACGGACCAAGGAGUCUAACAUCCACGCGAGUGUUCGGGUGUCAAACCCGUCCGCGCAGUGAAAGCGAACGGAGGUGGGAACCCCUGAGGGUGCACCAUCGACCGAUCCUGAAGUCUUCGG
rnacentral:rRNA from 1 species